UUUGCGUAGGCAGAGAGCAGAAGUCAUGGGGCUUCUUUUACGAAUUUUUUGUUCUUGCUUUGGUGAAGAAUUGGGAACUAAAGACAAUAGUUUUUCUCAUCAAAGGCUACACCGUGGACUCGAAUAAGAGAUGGAUACAGAAAAUCCUGCUCCAAUAGUUGAAAAGGAUACUACAGAUGCGGAGACAUCAUUGGAUAGCUCUCAUCUCAGGAAGAAGAUUCAGAAGAAAGUUCCAAAAAGAAUUCACAAAGCUGAGAGAGAGAAAAUGAAGAGAGAGCAUUUAAAUGAGCUUUUUCUUGGUUUGGCUGAUGCUCUUGAACUAUCUGAGCAGAUGAAUGGAAAAGCCUCUGUAUUGAGUGAAGCUGCUCGAUUUGUAAAGGACAUGCUUUCUCAGAUCAAGCAUAUGAGGACAGAAAAUACGACUUUGCUGUCUGAAUCUCAAUAUCUUAGCGUGGAGAAAAAGGAGCUUGAGGAUGAAAAUACAGUUCUGGAGGCUGAAAUUAGCAAACUGCAGAAUGAGGUCAAAGCAAGGGAAGCUGAGACUAGUCUUGACCUAAAUCUAGCUCCUCCUGAAAUUCAUCACACAGAGUUUGCCUCACAAACUAACUAUAUGAGAUUGCCUGCUUCGGAGCACGGAUUUCAACAGUCACAGAUGAUGAACCCCGUGUACGUCUUUCCCUUGAGUUCUAAUCCUCAGGCUUAUCCAGCGCCUGAUGCUGCAGAUCCCAUGGCUAUGCCCUCAUCUACUGUGAAGAAACCACAGCCUAGAUACCCCACUCCAAAUGAUGUAUGGCCAUCCCAAAUCCUUGAAAAGAGGCCUCAGUUAUUGCGACAGGAGGUUCAAGAUGGUGCGUAAGUAUAGUAGUCUAGAAGAAACAAGACAUUCGUUCAUAGGGAAUGGCAUGUAUAAGUACUAGUUAGGUAAUGUAGAUUUAGACGAUAAACAGCAGCAGAUUCAGCAAUACUUUGGACUUGCAGCUCUCCAUUGUAUAUAAACUUUUCGUUGUAUUUUGAUCAACAAUAACCUAGUUUGUCUGUUUGAGUGUCGAGGUAGUACCAGUUGGGAGGUAACCAUACCAUAGCAGUGUUG
rnacentral:misc_RNA from 1 species